GCUGGGCAUUGUGGCACAUGCCUGUCAUCCCAGCAGCUUGGGAGGCUGAGGCAGGAGGAUCACAAAUUCAAAGCCAACCUCAGCAAUUUAGGGAGGCCCUGAGCAAUUCAGAGAGACCCUGUCUCUA
rnacentral:sRNA from 1 species